GUUUCAGCAUCUUGUGUAUUUUACCCAUACUUCAUGUGUGAAUCAUGUAUGUGUUUACCACCCAGUCACGCAUGUGCCAGUGGACCCAGUGGACAUUCCCAGCCUGGUUGAAACCUGGAAGUACAGAAGUGGUCAGCUUCAAAGGACUUCUCAAGACUGUCCAAACCGAAUGGAAACCAGGCUAACAUUUUGCUUCUCUGGAGCCAAAAAAGCAAUCUUAGGAGGACCUGACCUCUACAACCAUUAAUCAGUACUACCUAGCCUGAAGACUCCUAGAAGAUCCUUUCCAAAGUUCACAUGGUUCUGUUGCUGAUCUUGUUUGUUUCUGUCACCACCUGCUGUCGCUGGCCAAGGCCUACCCGCUCCCAAAUAAAUUACUGCUGGUCACCUAGAAAUGUGAAUAACUUGAUGAAGUGUGGCAAAAUGUAAUUUUCACCUGGCACAGCCAGCUCUUGUCUUGGUUUCUGAUCUAUUUUUGGUAGUUUUUUCCUAGCCAUUACACUUCAACAUCUUAUUGCUUGCUCUUAAUCCUGGGUAGCUGUGACAACUGCUCUGUAAAAUAAACUUGACUGGUCCUUGUA